rnacentral:rRNA from 1 species
GAUGAACGCUGGCGGCGUGCCUAAUACAUGCAAGUCGAGCGAACAGACGAUGCUCUUGCUCCUCUGACGUUAGCAGCGGACGGGUGAGUAACACGUGGAUUACCUACCUCUAAGACUUGGAUUACUUCGAGUAACCGUAAUUCCUACCGGAUCCUCUCUUUAAUCGCAUUGUUCAAUAGUUUAUUCCGUUUUUGCUGUCCUUUCUACCUGUCUCCGUGCCGCAUUAGCUAGUUGGUAAGGUAACGGCUUCCGAAGGCCACGAUGGGUAGCCGACCUGCGAAGGUGAAGGGGAACAGUGGAACUGAGACACGGUCCAGACACCGAAGGGAGGCAGAAAUAGGGAAGCUACGGAAAAGGGCGAAAGACUGAAGGAGCAACGCAGCGUGAGUGAUGAAGGGCUGCGGAUCGUAAAAAUCUGUUAGUAGGGAAGAACAAAUGUGUAAGUAACUAUGCACGUCGUGACGGUACCUAAUCAGAAAGCAACGGCUAACUACGUG